UGUUCCAAAUGGGGUGAAGAAUCUAAGCCAACAGAGAAUAAAGGGAGUAUGGGAACACUGAUAAGGAAGGAUUUCAUGGUCCAGUCUCUAAAUGAGGACCAGUAGAGAGUUUGGAUUCAACAUCUUUGUGAUUGCAUCUUUGUCAAGAUGGUAAAUGGACUCUUAGCAAGAGAAGAUUGAAGUGAUGCAAUAAAAAUACCUCUUAGAAUGGUUGCAGGAAAUGGAAUGGGAAAAUCUCUUUUCAAUUCAGUGGGUGAACCCUGUAAAGCAUCUUAUACCAUUCUUGCAAUACUACGAGGCCAUAAGUGCUCACCAGAUGUAGCUAGUAUCUUACGAGAAGAAACACAAAUUUUCCAUGUCUGGAUGCUCUCAUGGGGUAAGAUUAACCAAUUCAUUCUUACUCUAGAUAUUUCAUAUCAUAUCAAAGGGUUUAUUCUCUUUUGGAAAAAAUUUAAGAAGAAGAAAAAAGAGUUGGUAGAAAAGAAAGUACAAAUUAUGGUGAAUGUUAUGAAUUUCUGGGGAAAGGUUGUGAUUUUGAGUUUGGAUUUCCUGUUGUUAUACUUUGAAAGAAAAGAAGUAUGAAAAAUGAAGAAGAUAGAGAAUGAAAAUGAAGUUUCAUGGGUGAAGCUAAUUUUCCUGAUUUUUUUUUUCCUGCUUCCUUGAGGACAAGGAAAUUAUUGAGUCGGAGGCAUUGAUAAGUUGCGUUUGAAGGCAGUUAUGUUGUUGCAGUUUGUUACAUGGGCAAAAAGGAAGAGAAGUUAGUGAGCUUUCUGUUGUAUAACUGUAAAUGUUAG
rnacentral:misc_RNA from 1 species